rnacentral:rRNA from 1 species
CCUACGGGGGGCAGCAGUGAGGAAUAUUGGUCAAUGGGCGAGAGCCUGAACCAGCCAAGUCGCGUGAGGGAGUACUGCCCUAUGGGUUGUAAACCUCUUUUGUCGGGGAGCAAAAGCCGGACGUGUCCGGCUGUGAGAGUACCCGAAGAAAAAGCAUCGGCUAACUCCGUGCCCGCAGCCGCGGGAAUACGGAGGAUGCGAGCGUUAUCCGGAUUUAUUGGGUUUAAAGGGGGCGCAGGUGGAUUUUUAAGUCAGCGGUCAAAGCGUGGGGCUCAACCCCAUCCAGCCGUUGAAACUGGGGAUCUAGAGUGUGCGAGAGGUAUGCGGAAUGCGUGGUGUAGCGGUGAAAUGCAUAGAUAUCACGCAGAACCCCGAUUGCGAAGGCAGCAUACCGGUGCACAACUGACGCUCAGGCACGAAAGCGUGGGUAUCGAACAGGAGUAGAUACCCUUGUAGUC